rnacentral:rRNA from 1 species
CACGUAGGGCGCGAGCGUUGUCCGGAAUUAUUGGGCGUAAAGAGCUCGUAGGCGGCCUGUUGCGUCCGCUGUGAAAGCCCGGGGCUUAACCCCGGGUCUGCAGUGGAUACGGGCAGGCUAGAGGUAGGUAGGGGAGAAUGGAAUUCCCGGUGUAGCGGUGAAAUGCGCAGAUAUCGGGAGGAACAGCGGUGGCGAAGGCGGUUCUCUGGGCCUUACCUGACGCUGAGGAGCGAAAGCGUGGGGAGCGAACAGG